AUUGAACGCUGGCGGCAGGCCUAACACAUGCAAGUCGAGCGGAGCGGCGGACGGGUGAGUAAUGCCUAGGAAUCUGCCUGGUAGUGGGGUAUAACGUCCGGAAACGGGCGCUAAUACCGCAUACUAUCAUAUGAGCCUAGGUCGGAUUAGCUAGGUGGGGGGGUAAGGGCCGACCAAGGCGACGAUCCGUAACUGGGCGGAGAGGAUGAUCAGUGCCACUGGAACGGAACCGCGGUCCAGACUCCUACGGGAGGCAGCAGAGGGGAAAAUUGGACAAUGGGCGGAAGCCUGAUCCAGCCAUGCCGCGUGUGUGAAGAAGGUCUUCGGAUUGUAAAGCACUUUAAGUUGGGAGGAGGUACCAAAAGAAUAAGCACCGGCUAACUCCGUGCCAGCAGCCGCGGUAAUUC
rnacentral:rRNA from 1 species